rnacentral:rRNA from 1 species
GACGAACGCUGGCGGCGUGCCUAAUACAUGCAAGUCGAACGCCGAAGGGGGAGCUUGCUUCUCUGGAUGAGUUGCGAACGGGUGCGUAACGCGUAGGUAACCUGCCUGGUAGCGGGGGAUAACUAUUGGAAACGAUAGCUAAUACCGCAUAAUAGUAGAUGUUGCAUGAAAUUUGCUUAAACGGUGCACUUGCACCAAUACCAGAUGGACCUGCGUUGUUUUAGGUAGUUGGUGGGGUAACGGCCCACCAAAGCGACGGUGCAUAGGCGACCUGAGAAGGUUAACGGCCAACCUUGGACUGGGACACGGCCCAGGCUCCCUCGGGAAGGAGCAAUAGGGAAACUUCGGAAAAGGAGGGAAGGCUGACCGAGCAACGCCGCGGGAGGGAAGAAGGUUUUCGGAUCGGAAAGCUCUGUUGUAAGAGAAGAACGAGUGGGAGAGUAGAAAGUUCACGCUGUGACGGUAUCUUACCAGAAAGGAACGGCUAACUACGUG